AACGAGCGCUGGCGGCAUGCCUAACACAUGCAAGUCGAACGAGACCUUCGGGUCUAGUGGCGCACGGGUGCGUAACGCGUGGGAACCUGCCCUUAGGUUCGGAAUAACUCCCCGAAAGGGGUGUUAAUACCGGAUAAUGUCUUCGGACCAAAGAUUUAUCGCCUUUGGAUGGGCCCGCGUUGGAUUAGCUAGUUGGUAGGGUAAAAGCCUACCAAGGCGACGAUCCAUAGCUGGUCUGAGAGGAUGAUCAGCCACACUGGGACUGAGACACGGCCCAGACUCCUACGGGAGGCAGCAGUGGGGAAUAUUGGACAAUGGGCGAAAGCCUGAUCCAGCAAUGCCGCGUGAGUGAUGAAGGCCUUAGGGUUGUAAAGCUCUUUUACCCGGGAUGAUAAUGACAGUACCGGGAGAAUAAGCUCCGGCUAACUCCGUG
rnacentral:rRNA from 1 species